AGUCAACAUAACCAGAGGACGUGGAUAAACUCGGGAAACUGAGGCUAAACCGCGAUAGACCAAGAUACCUGGAAUGGUCUUUGAUCAAAAUCUAUAUGGCCUUUGGAUUGGACUGCGACCGAUCAGGCUGUUGGUGAGGUAAUGGCCCACCAAACCUGUAACCGGUACGGGCUCUGAGAGGAGGAGCCCGGAGAUGGGUACUGAGAAAAGGACCCAGGCCCUAUGGGGCGCAGCAGGCGCGAAACCUCUGCAAUAGGCGAAAGCCUGACAGGGUUAUUCUGAGUGACUUUCGCUAAGAAAGUCUUUUGACAUCUCUAAAAAUGGUGUAGAAUAAGGGGUGGGCAAGUCUGGUGUCAGCCGCCGCGGUAAUACCAGCACCCCGAGUGGUCGGGACGAUUAUUGGGCCUAAAGCAUCCGUAGCCGGUUUUACAAGUCCUCCGUUAAAUCCAACUGCUUAACAGAUGGGCCGCGGAGGAUACUAUAAGACUAGGAGGCAGGAGAGGCAAGCGGUACUCAGUGGGUAGGGGUAAAAUCCGUUGAUCCAUUGAAGACCACCAGUGGCGAAGGCGGCUUGCCAGAAUGCGCUCGACGGUGAGGGAUGAAAGCUGGGGGAGCAAACCGGAUUAGAUACCCGGGUAGUCCCAGCUGUAAACGAUGCAGACUCGGUGAUGGACUAG
rnacentral:rRNA from 1 species